ensembl:lncRNA
GCCUGCCGUUGUACAUUAUUACAAACUUUAAUAAACCGUAAUGUUCAUAACACACCAUUGUAGGAAAAGACUAUAAAAAAAUACAUGUUUUUUCAGAUCUUACAGUUGUCUGCGCCAGACCGUAGCGUGAGAGAAAAGACCGCUUCCCCUUGGUUAAAUGGUCCAACAGGAGUGUAUCCACCAGACUUUCCGGUGCAUGAAUAUCCUGUUUCAAUGUGAUGGCAUCCUGUGACAGUUUGAUCUGAGCGCAAGCGUCCAGUUGUAGAGACGACAGCAGAUCGAGCCUGUGGACGGACAGUCCAACAAGUGUGCAUCCCUCAGACCAUCCGGUAGAGGGACAUCCGGUGCCAGUGUGAUCCAGUUGUGGAGACUACAGCACAUCGAGUGUGCGGACGGACAGGGACACUUGACCUCAACCACUGCUGUGGUGCCCACAAGACCACCCGAUGAGGCACCCAGGAUCCCAG